rnacentral:rRNA from 1 species
AAUAGAUACCCCGGUAGUCCACCCCGUAAACGUUGGGAACUAGUUGUGGGGUCCUUUCCACGGAUUCCGUGACGCAGCUAACGCAUUAAGUUCCCCGCCUGGGGAGUACGGCCGCAAGGCUAAAACUCAAAGGAAUUGACGGGGACCCGCACAAGCGGCGGAGCAUGCGGAUUAAUUCGAUGCAACGCGAAGAACCUUACCAAGGCUUGACAUACACCAGAACACCCUAGAAAUAGGGGACUCUUUGGACACUGGUGAACAGGUGGUGCAUGGUUGUCGUCAGCUCGUGUCGUGAGAUGUUGGGUUAAGUCCCGCAACGAGCGCAACCCUCGUUCUAUGUUGCCAGCACGUAAUGGUGGGAACUCAUGGGAUACUGCCGGGGUCAACUCGGAGGAAGGUGGGGAUGACGUCAAAUCAUCAUGCCCCUUAUGUCUUGGGCUUCACGCAUGCUACAAUGGCCGGUACAAAGGGCUGCAAUACCGUGAGGUGGAGCGAAUCCCAAAAGCCGGUCCCAGUUCGGAUUGAGGUCUGCAACUCGACCUCAUG